GUGGGCGGCGUUCAUAAAGAUUUACGUUUAUUUCACGUUCCUGACCUCGCCCGCCUAUAAAAGUCCUCGUUGCUCCAGGGCGUAGCUCCGUUACCCUGGGGGGCCUAUGGGGGUGCGGGGUACAGGCACCCAUCGCUCCGGGACACCUUGCCUCAGUGCUCAUCUCUGUCAAAUUAAAGACUCAAGAGCUGUGUGAAGAAGCUGAGCAGCGUCUCCCUGGCCUGGGCGUGGAGUGAGCUGGUCCCCUCAUCACCAGCACCAUAGACCAGGGGAUGAGGUGCUCCUGGCCCUCCGGCACACCCUCCUGGGCGGACCAGAGGAUGUCCACUGUGCUGGUGAGUGGCCUGACCCUUGCAUCUCUCUGGGUCAUUGUAGUGCUCCAAACUUGCUCUUUUUCUGUGGCCUGACCCUUGCAUCUCUCUGGGUCAUUGUAGUGCU